ACAUGCAAGUCGAACGGUGAAGGGACCAGCUUGCUGGUUCUGGAUGAGUGGCGAACGGGUGAGUAACACGUGAGUAACCUGCCCCCUUCUUCUGGAUAACCGCAUGAAAGUGUGGCUAAUACGGGAUAUUCUGGGUCUGUCGCAUGAUGGGCCCGGGAAAGAUGCGCCUUUGGGUGUUUUUGGUGGGGGAUGGGCUCGCGGCCUAUCAGCUUGUUGGUGGGGUGAUGGCCUACCAAGGCGGUGACGGGUAGCCGGCCUGAGAGGGUGGACGGUCACACUGGGACUGAGACACGGCCCAGACUCCUACGGGAGGCAGCAGUGGGGAAUAUUGCACAAUGGGCGCAAGCCCGAUGCAGCGACGCCGCGUGAGGGAUGGAGGCCUUCGGGUUGUAAACCUCUUUCGCCAGUGAAGCAGGCCUGCUCCUUGUGGGUGGGUUGACGGUAGCUGGAUAAGAAGCGCCGGCUAACUACGUGCCAGCAGCCGCGGUAAUACGUAGGGCGCAAGCGUUGUCCGGAAUUAUUGGGCGUAAAGAGCUCGUAGGCGGCUGGUCGCGUCUGUCGUGAAAUCCUCUGGCUUAACUGGGGGCUUGCGGUGGGUACGGGCCGGCUUGAGUGCGGUAGGGGAGACUGGAACUCCUGGUGUAGCGGUGGAAUGCGCAGAUAUCAGGAAGAACACCGGUGGCGAAGGCGGGUCUCUGGGCCGUUACUGACGCUGAGGAGCGAAAGCGUGGGGAGCGAACAGGAUUAGAUACCCUGGUAGUCCACGCCGUAAACGUUGGGCACUAGGUGUGGGGGGCCUUUUCCGGGUCUUCCG
rnacentral:rRNA from 1 species